ACCGGCAGCUCAAGUGGUGGCCAUUUUUAUUGGGCCUAAAGCGUUCGUAGCCGGUUUGAUAAGUCUCUGGUGAAAUCCCGCAGCUUAACUGUGGGACUUGCUGGAGAUACUAUUAGACUUGAGGUCGGGUGAGGUUAGCGGAACUCCCAGGGUAGCGGUGAAAUCCUAUAAUCCUGGGAGGACCACCUAUGGCGAAGGCGCCUAACUGGAACGAACCUGACGGUAAGUAGCGAAAGUCAGGGUCGCGAACAG
rnacentral:rRNA from 1 species